rnacentral:lncRNA from 1 species
AAAGAUGAACCAGGUUGCUCUUUACCUGGUGAGUGUGUAGAUAAAGAAACAUUGGAACCAAUUACAAAGAAAGUUGUAGCUAAUAACAAUCCAAAGUAGUCUAUAGAUGAAGUUUCUUAGCCUUACCCAUCUUCAAGGGUAUGUAAGGGUCACCCUUAGGAUAAUGUGUUCGUGAUGUUAGUGGAGAGGUCGAGACAAG